UAAUGCAUCGGGACCCUACCCAGACGUGGGGGAUAACCUCGGGAAACCGGGACUAAUACCGCAUACGUCCUACGGGAGAAAGCGGGGGACCUUCGGGCCUCGCGCGGCUGGACGGACCGAUGUGCGAUUAGCUAGUUGGUAGGGUAAUGGCCUACCAAGGCGACGAUCGCUAGCUGGUCUGAGAGGAUGAUCAGCCACACUGGGACUGAGACACGGCCCAGACUCCUACGGGAGGCAGCAGUGGGGAAUAUUGGACAAUGGGCGCAAGCCUGAUCCAGCAAUGCCGCGUGUGUGAAGAAGGCCUUCGGGUUGUAAAGCACUUUUAUCAGGAACGAAAUACCACGGGUUAAUAACCUAUGGGGCUGACGGUACCUGAGGAAUAAGCACCGGCUAACUUCGUGCCAGCAGCCGCGGUAAUACGAAGGGUGCAAGCGUUAAUCGGAAUUACUGGGCGUAAAGGGUGCGUAGGCGGUUCGUUAAGUCUGUCGUGAAAUCCCCGGGCUCAACCUGGGAAUGGCGAUGGAUACUGGCGAGCUAGAGUGUGUCAGAGGAUGGUGGAAUUCCCGGUGUAGCGGUGAAAUGCGUAGAGAUCGGGAGGAACAUCAGUGGCGAAGGCGGCCAUCUGGGACAACACUGACGCUGAAGC
rnacentral:rRNA from 1 species